CCUAGUAUUGCAUGCUGCCCAAGGCAUCACACAUGCCCCCCUUCUCUAGAAGGGGGCGGGUGGUAUUUAAAAUCAAGUCUGAAUCUAGAGCUUGAUGUUUGCUGUCACUAAAGAGUUUGGAUCGCCAUAGACUCUUGCAAAGAGGGAUCCAUCACUGGUCUCCUCAGGUCCACAUGAGGUAAGGCAGUCCUUCAACAUGGCAU
rnacentral:lncRNA from 1 species